UACGGGGGGGGCAAGCGUUGUUCGGAAUUACUGGGCGUAAAGGGCUCGUAGGCGGCCAACUAAGUCAGACGUGAAAUCCCUCGGCUUAACCGGGGAACUGCAUCUGAUACUGGAUGGCUUGAGAUUGGGAGAGGGAUGCGGAAUUCCAGGUGUAGCGGUGAAAUGCGUAGAUAUCUGGAGGAACACCGGUGGCGAAGGCGGCAUCCUGGACCAAAACUGACGCUGAGGAGCGAAAGCCAGGGGAGCAAACGGG
rnacentral:rRNA from 1 species